rnacentral:rRNA from 1 species
UACGGGGGGGGCAAGCGUUGUUCGGAAUUACUGGGCGUAAAGGGCUCGUAGGCGGCCAACUAAGUCAGACGUGAAAUCCCUCGGCUUAACCGGGGAACUGCGUCUGAUACUGGAUGGCUUGAGGGUAGGAGAGGGAUGCGGAAUUCCAGGUGUAGCGGUGAAAUGCGUAGAUAUCGGGAGGAACACCUGUGGCGAAGGCGGUUCUCUGGGCCUGUACUGACGCUGAGGAGCGAAAGCGUGGGGAGCGAACAGG